rnacentral:tRNA from 1 species
AAUGGCGUAGUUUAAAUGAAGAAUGUUUGCUCUGCAAGUAGAAUGUGGUGUGUACCCGCUGUUG